UCCCUCCUUGACUCCACAGGCCAGGAAGCACCAGAUGCUGCAGGAUUGUGUGGAAGUUUUUACUCUCACUUUCCCCUCCCCUCCCCAGUCACUCCUUAAAUCCUGCAGAGCUGAAGCACCUGCUGCCAGCCCAAGGAAGCCUCCCAGCCUGCUCCCUGCCAGUCCUGCCAGUGCCAGUCCUUACAGAGCUUUCCCCUCAGGCUCCCUUCCUCUCCUUCUCUUCCACGGCGGGGUGAAGCACAUCAUGAUUCAGACCCAAAAGCUUUGUGCAUGGAUUUGCAGAGGAAAGGUCUGUGGCUGAUGGUGUGAGAUAUGAUUUUAUAAGAACAGAAGAGCCGACCACUCAUGUGAUUUUGAAAUGAUAUACAGUUGAGCAAAUAUUCUUUAUCUCUACUGAAAGCUAAGAAAAAGUUCAUAGGCAGAGCACCCUACUAUGAAUAAUCUUCUUAUUUCUAAUGCCACCCAGCCAUGCAGACUUAAAGAUAAGUACAGAUGAAGUAAGAGAGGCUGAAGUUAUUAAAUGUAAUGGAAAUGGACUUUAAAUUUGGCGAAUCAAAAUUUUGGAUUAACUUUUUCCUUUAAUACGCUUAAAUUGCCACCACGGCAGUUCCAUUUUCCUCAUCAAAUUAGUUAAGUGGGAGAUGAAGUGAUGCAAGUUCCGAUCUAUCAAGGAAUCACAGCCUCUGAGAAGAAACAACUGAAAUAUGGAAAUGGCUGUUGCAAAGCCAGGCCUGGUGCCAGGGUGAAAUGGAGACAUUUAUUCUUUAGAAAUUCUUCUGAAAGGAGGUUUGUCCUUCCAGUGAAGCAGUGUUACCCACCAUCAUCUGACAUUUCUUUCAGUUUCAGGUCCUCCAAGCCUGAAACUGAUUCAGGCCUUUGGGCCAUGCAAAAAGGGUCUUGGAACAUCCAACAGCUGGGAGAGGAAGAUGCUUGGAGGAAACAUGUCAAAGAUGUUAUGUGAAACGUCCCACAGCUGCUGAUGUUUAAUGCAGCCCAAUACAUGAUGGAAUUGCUGUCCUAGAGGGAGUGGGAAGGCUGGAAAACUGCUUCGGAGGGUUUCUGGGAAACCUAUGAACAACAUGGAGUUUGUCUGCAAAGAUGGUCUUGGGCGAGCCUGCCAGGUCUCUGUUUGCCCCCUGGCCAGGGCUGGGGGGCUGCAGCUCUCUCCUGGAGCUGGUGGUCUUUGUAACCAGGAUUGUGUCCAGAGAUUCAUGGGCAGCACCACAUGGAGUGAGGGGAAAUGUGGGAUAUCCAUGGCUGGGAUGGAAAACUCCCUCCUGAUCUCCCACCUGCCUGUGACACAUGUGCUUGUGAAAAUCCUUCUUCUUUGUUUUAUACAGUUUUUGGUACCUCAGCAGAAACAAAAGAAAACAAACCACACAAACUAUAGCCUGUUUCCAAGCAGGCAUGAACUGAUCACAUGCAAAUUGAAACACUUCAAAAUCAAAUCAUCUCCAUUAGAGACACUCCACUAGAGGAAUCACAAAGGGCCUCUCCAUGUCUGCAUGAGGGUUCUUGUCAUCUUGGGAAUAGGUUGAGCCCAGCUUUAGACUGGGCAGGAGUAACAAGCCACCUCUGUAAGCAUAUCCCUCAAGAAAGUUGGUGCUGUGUAGAGCAUCUCAGUUUAGCUACUAAAAAAAAGAGAAACAACCCAAAGGGAAGCAUUUCUGCCAAAGGUGCCCAGAGAUAUUUAUGUCCAAGGAAAAAAGAGAAUCCCAACUACAAUCACACGGAAAUGUGAAACUUGUGGCUAAAAUAUCAGUAUAGGUGGAUGGUGAGGGUUAUUUAAGUGCUCCAGCUCACACCCCACAACAAACCGGGGCUCUGGCUUUUGUUUCUAGUUGCUCUGAUCCCUCUUGCUCUGUUGCAGAGAUACAAAACCAAAUAAUUUUGUGUUAAGGCUGCCAGUUCCUUAUUUCCUAUCCCUAACUAAAUCUCCCUAAUAUUCAUGGUAAGGAACUGAUUAUAGGGUG